UACGGAGGAUCCGAGCGUUAUCCGGAUUUAUUGGGUUUAAAGGGUGCGUAGGCGGCUUUAUAAGUCAGUAGUGAAAUCUCGUGGCUCAACCAUGAACGUGCUAUUGAAACUGUAGAGCUUGAGUACAGACGAGGCAGGCGGAAUGUGUUAUGUAGCGGUGAAAUGCAUAGAUAUAACACAGAACACCGAUAGCGAAGGCAGCUUGCCAGACUGUAACUGACGCUGAUGCACGAAAGCGUGGGUAGCGAACAGG
rnacentral:rRNA from 1 species